UUACAUGUAUUUAACAAUAACAUAUAUGCAAAAUGAUAAACUGUACACAUCGGUCCCUAAUAUUAAAGAAAAGAUGAAGAGUUGGUACCAUUGUUCUGAAGAUUUGAAGUAUUGGAAGAAGGCAUCUCAAUUGUUUGUCUGCUUGUAAACUUAUACCUGUAUCUAAGAAAACAAUCUUUCAAGGUAAGAUCAAAACUUAUCCUUCAUUGUGGAUCAGUGCAAAUAUGGACA